AACGAAGAAGAAGAAGGUUACCGUGAAAUUAAGUGAGAAGUGACCGUUUAAUGAGCGCGCCAAUUAUCUCCGGCUCGGCUAUUGGGACCACAGUAAAACGAUGGAGGUGGACUUUUCUUGAUGAGUCUCCGCUCAUCAGAAGCCAACUUCUUCAUCCAUCGAGCGGGAAUUACAAGAGAAAGUUUAAGCACCAGCUUUGAAUUAUUAACAGGUAUAUGGUUAGACAAUUAGAAUUGUUCUGUGAGCCUAUGAGCCAAUCAGCAUGCCCUCGGGAGCUAGGGAAGCAGGAAAGUCCUGGAGGUAUGUUAUUAAGGGGAGUUUCCAGAAACAAUGUUAGAUUUGUUCAUUGGCUGCCAACUCUUGAAUAUGUAGAGUUAAA
rnacentral:misc_RNA from 1 species